rnacentral:rRNA from 1 species
GACGAACGCUGGCGGCGUGCUUAACACAUGCAAGUCGAACGGUGAAGCGCUUGCCUUUUUGGUGGGUGUGGAUGAGUGGCGAACGGGUGAGUAACACGUGAGUAACCUGCCCUCUUCUUCUGGAUAACCUCAUGAAAGUGGGGCUAAUACGGGGUAUUCCGGGUCUGUCGCAUGGCGGGUUUGGGAAAGAUUGCGCCUUUGGGUGUUUUCGGUGGGGGAUGGGCUCGCGGCCUAUCAGCUUGUUGGGGGGGUGAUGGCCUAGCAAGGCGGUGACGGGUGGCCGGCCUGAGAGGGUGGACGGCCACACUGGGACUGAGACACGGCCCAGACUCCUGCGGGAGGCAGCAGUGGGGAAUAUUGCACAAUGGGCGCAAGCCGGAUGCAGCGACGCCGCGUGAGGGAUGGAGGCCUUCGGGUUGUGAACCUCUUUCGCCAGUGAAGCAGGCCUGCUCCUGUGUGGGUGGGUUGACGGUAGCUGGAGAAGAAGCGCCGGCUAACUACGUG